CCCGAGGCCGAAUUCGGCUUUUUGUUGCCGCCCCCCCCCCCCACGGGGGCCGCCCGGAGUCCGUCCCGUCCUGAGGUACGAAAUGGGGUCUGCGGGAGAGCGACUUCCGGUUGAGGGCCGGAAGUGGGGGGCGACAUCCGGCGGAGGGCCGGAAGUGGGAGAGGGAGACGUCCGAUUGAAGGCUGAAAGUUAAGCAGCUACUUCCGGCAUAGGCCACUUCCGGUAUAGAACGGAAGUUGUGAGGGAGAGCCAUUUAAUUAGACCGUGGGGAAAACGGUAACCGGAAUUGGGGUUCCCCUCAACGGGGCGAUCUCAGCACAGCGGAGCGCUCCGUGCCCCCGCUCUCACGGAGCCCCAAUUCUCCCCCCACUGCCGCCUGAGCGGCCCCUGCGGAGCUCCAUUUUCCAGCGCACUCCGCCAUUUGUUAAACCCGCUGCUGCGCAUGCGCACCACGCCUCCAGCGCCCCACACCGGAAGCGCUCUUGCCGGAAGUGCCACCUAGGAGGGCUCUCACAGGAAGUGCUCUCUGGUCGCGCUCUCAUUAGCCGUGAAACACCGGAAGUGUCUUCUAGCGGCCCUCUAACCGGAAGCGCAGACACCGGAAGUGAGGCCGCGAAGAGCUCACACCGGAAGUGUAGUCAGGACGCGCUCUUAUCAGCACUGUAACACCAGAAGCGUCGCCUAGGAGCCUCCCUAACCGAAAGCGCAGGCACCGGAAAUGAGGCCGUGAAGAGCUCACACCGGAAGUGCCAUCUGGACGCGCUCUCAUCAGCCGUGAGACGGCAGAGGCGUCGUCUGGGAGCCUAACCGGGAGCACACGCACCGGAAGUGAGGCCGUGAAGCGCUCACACCAGAAGUGACGUCUGGACGCGCUCUUAACUACCGGGAAAAACCGGAAGUGUCAUCUAGAAGCCCCCUAACCGGAAGCUCACGCACCGGAAGUGACGCAGUGAGGAGCUUCCCACCUGCAGUGGGAAAAAGCGGCGGUCUCAUCCAGAAGCGCUUUCGCCGGAAAGCGAAUAACCGGAAGUAGCAUAAAAAACCGGAAGUGUCAUCGGGAACGGGUAACGUUCGGCAGAAGUACCGACCGGAAGUGCCGCACCGGAAGUCCCGGAGGCGGCGGAGCGGACCG
rnacentral:lncRNA from 1 species